rnacentral:rRNA from 1 species
UACGUAGGGCGCAAGCGUUAUCCGGAAUUAUUGGGCGUAAAGAGCUCGUAGGCGGUCUGUCGCGUCUGCCGUGAAAACCCGAGGCUUAACCUCGGGCUGGCGGUGGAUACGGGCAGACUAGAGGUAGGUAGGGGAGAAUGGAAUUCCCGGUGUAGCGGUGAAAUGCGCAGAUAUCGGGAGGAACACCGGUGGCGAAGGCGGUUCUCUGGGCCUUACCUGACGCUGAGGAGCGAAAGCAUGGGGAGCGAACAGG